rnacentral:rRNA from 1 species
AAGUGGGGAUGACGUCAAACCAUCAUGCCCCUUAUGACCUGGGCUACACACGUGCUACAAUGGUUGGUACAACGAGUUGCGAGUCGGUGACGGCGAGCUAAUACUCUUAAAGCCAAUCUCAGUUCGGAUUGUAGGCUGCAACUCGCCUACAUGAAGUCGGAAUCGCUAGUAAUCGCGGAUCAGCACGCCGCGGUGAAUACGUUCCCGGGCCUU